UUCCCAGUGGCGCAAUAUGUAAGCGCACGGUGCUUGUAAUGCCGGAGUUGUGAGUUCGAGUCUCGCCUGGGGAA